rnacentral:rRNA from 1 species
GACGAACGCUGGCGGCGUGCUUAACACAUGCAAGUCGAACGGAAAGGCCCUGCUUUUGUGGGGUGCUCGAGUGGCGAACGGGUGAGUAACACGUGAGUAACCUGCCCUUGACUUUGGGAUAACUUCAGGAAACUGGGGCUAAUACCGGAUAGGAGCUCCUGCUGCAUGGUGGGGGUUGGAAAGUUUCGGCGGUUGGGGAUGGACUCGCGGCUUAUCAGCUUGUUGGUGGGGUAGUGGCUUACCAAGGCUUUGACGGGUAGCCGGCCUGAGAGGGUGACCGGCCACAUUGGGACUGAGAUACGGCCCAGACUCCUACGGGAGGCAGCAGUGGGGAAUAUUGCACAAUGGGCGGAAGCCUGAUGCAGCAACGCCGCGUGCGGGAUGACGGCCUUCGGGUUGUAAACCGCUUUCGCCUGUGACGAAGCGUGAGUGACGGUAAUGGGUAAAGAAGCACCGGCUAACUACGUGCCAGCAGCCGCGGUGAUACGUAGGGUGCGAGCGUUGUCCGGAUUUAUUGGGCGUAAAGGGCUCGUAGGUGGUUGAUCGCGUCGGAAGUGUAAUCUUGGGGCUUAACCCUGAGCGUGCUUUCGAUACGGGUUGACUUGAGGAAGGUAGGGGAGAGUGGAAUUCCUGGUGGAGCGGUGGAAUGCGCAGAUAUCAGGAGGAACACCAGUGGCGAAGGCGGUUCUCUGGGCCUUUCCUGACGCUGAGGAGCGAAAGCGUGGGGAGCGAACAGGCUUAGAUACCCUGGUAGUCCACGCUGUAAACGGUGGGUACUAGGUGUGGGGUCCAUUCCACGGGUUCCGUGCCGUAGCUAACGCUUUAAGUACCCCGCCUGGGGAGUACGGCCGCAAGGCUAAAACUCAAAGGAAUUGACGGGGCCCCGCACAAGCGGCGGAGCAUGCGGAUUAAUUCGAUGCAACGCGUAGAACCUUACCUGGGUUUGACAUGGAUCGGGAGUGCUCAGAGAUGGGUGUGCCUCUUUUGGGGUCGGUUCACAGGUGGUGCAUGGCUGUCGUCAGCUCGUGUCGUGAGAUGUUGGGUUAAGUCCCGCAACGAGCGCAACCCUUGUUCACUGUUGCCAGCACGUUAUGGUGGGGACUCAGUGGAGACCGCCGGGGUCAACUCGGAGGAAGGUGGGGAUGACGUCAAGUCAUCAUGCCCCUUAUGUCCAGGGCUUCACGCAUGCUACAAUGGCUGGUACAGAGAGUGGCGAGCCUGUGAGGGUGAGCGAAUCUCGGAAAGCCGGUCUCAGUUCGGAUUGGGGUCUGCAACUCGACCUCAUGAAGUCGGAGUCGCUAGUAAUCGCAGAUCAGCAACGCUGCGGCGAAUACGUUCCCGGGGCU